CAGCCACUGCUACAUCUUGCACAGCUGCCCUGUCUGUAAACACUGCAGCAGCCUCUGUUGUGACAAAAUCCAUGGCACCCCCUGCUGCGAACCAGGCCACUGCCAUCUUCCCACCACUGACCGCCGCUGCGAACCAGGCUGCUGCCAUUGUCCCACCACUGACCGCCGCUGCGAACCAGGCUGCUGCCAUUGUCCCACCACUGACCGCCGCUGCAAACUAGGCUGCUGCAAUCAUCCCACUACCGACCACCGCUGCAAACUAGGCCGCUGCCACCAUCCCACCACUGACUCCUGCUGUCAACGUAGACCCUACCAUGAACAUAGUGGAAGCUCCAGCUGCAAUCACAACAGGAGGUUUUGAUGUUUGCAAUGAACACUGUUGUGGAAUGAAGCACAUAUACCACAUAUAUGCAAGAAGGGAAGUAACGGAGCACGAGAUGGACAAAGGACAAUUGACACCAAAUAUGGCCAGCAUCAAACACGCCAAUGUUAUCCCCACUUGGACACAGCCUCUCAAUGUCGACCCAUUUCUCUCGCUGCCUAUGGUGCCAGGAUCCUGGGCAUUUGUUUCAAGGAUGUUUCAGCACAAGCAGGCAGCGUGGACUGUGGUGUGUUCAUGCUAAUGUACACACUAUACAUGGCACUGGACUGGACCUUUGACUUCACGCAGCAUUAUAUGCCACGUAUAAGGAGGUGGUGGUGCCAGCUGUUGUUAGACAACAUAGAACCCCAAAGGAAGACAAAAUGUGUGGACAUGGACGAACAGGAAAGGAAGAGAAGACGGAUGGAACCCAUGUCACAUGGAAGAGAGCAGGAGCAGGCAACAUGUAUUGAUCAGUUGCCAUCAUGCUUGUUGGAGAUGAUAUUUAUCUGAGGUGGUCCUUCAUGAUGGAGACAGAGCUUUGAUGACCCUGUCCCUGGUGUGUACCUCCUUCAAAGCAGUGGUGGGAAUGGACUACUUCCGGAGAAAAGUGCAUCUUCUGUGGCUUGACAGUGUUGCAGACUGGACCAGGUAAGUAUCACCGAUGUUGAGCAGAGACAUCUCCAGCAGGUCAGCUACCACACCCUUGUGAAAGACAAUAAGCAUCCAGUUGUGUAGGAAUACAUAGAUGCGGUAGAAAACACUAUGCUCACUGGCAUUACUGCUUUUUUUAAUCAAACCUUUAUUUAUCCAGGUAAAGCCAUUAAGAUCAAAUUCUUAUUUACAAUGGCGACCUGGCAAAAGGCAACUUUAAACUGAACAUGUUUUUUUCACUGCCAAUUUCACUGUCUUCAUUUUCUAAGUAUGUAUGUCUUAAACAGGGUUGUGUUUUUGUUCAAAACCCAGUAAAAACAUAUUAGUGACAGCUAUAUAAAAAUGACAUAUUGCUAAGGUACUCACCUGAUACCUCCUUCUGUCCGUCUGUUUUGCUUUGGUCUUUUUAUGACCACUUUUUCUAUUGGCCCUGGUUUCAGUCCCUUACAACAGACACACAAAAAGAAAUCAAUAAAAAUCAAAAGACACACAAACAUAAAAAUAAAAAACAUCAACAAUAAGAGAAAAGACAAGAAAAUUGAAAUACAAAAGGAAAGAUUAUACAAAUGAUCUAGAAUAAAUAAUCACUCUUUCUAAUAUCACUUGUACCAAGAUCAUAAGGACCACAAUGAGUAGUAAUAAUAAAAACUUACAAGUUGAAUGUGACUGACUGUUGUCCCAUUGUCUACUCUUAAAUAUCUCACAUAGCAAGAAUUUACACUGAUUACAUGUCUUAACCCUUACUGCUUUUCU